UGAUGUUCAGUGCAGUGUUUUUUGGAAAUCUCUAAAGCCACUAUGGCUUGUAUUGGAACCUCUUCUUUCUGGGGAUUUUGCCUUUUCCUCUCUAUCUUGGACGCUGGUAGUUCCCUGGGGGCGGAUCUUUUGAAGAAGGAACUAACUGACUUCAUUGGAUCCAUCUGGAAAAAUAUAAGCAUAUCUCUUUCUCUGUAAUAUUUUUCAGAUUUCCAUUGUUUAGUCAACCCAUCUUGAUACCAAAUGGGAAGAGGAAGGCAGGCAUCUUUCAAUGUCUCGAAAUGUUUUUCUGCUAUUGUCAAAAUAUCUCCUUGUGGUCUGUUAAGAGAUGGAGAAGACUCUUGAGAGUCCCUUGGACUGCAAGGAGAUCCAACCAGUCCAUUCUAAAGAAGAUCAGUCCUGGGUGUUCUUUGGAAUGAAUGAUGCUGAAGUUGAAACUCCAGUACUUUGGCCACCUCAUGAGAAGAGUUGACUCACUGGAAAAGACUCUGAUGCUGGGAGGGAUUGGGGGCAGGAGGAGAAGGGGACGACAGAGGAUGAGAUGGCUGGAUGGCAUCACUGACUCAAUGGACGAAUUUUAUGGUGUCCUGUGAGAGCUGGACUGUGAAGAAGGCUGAGCACUGAAGAAUUGAUGCUUUCGAACUGUGGUGUUGGAGAAGACUCUUGAGAGUCCCUUGGACUGCAAGGAGAUCCAACCAGUCCAUUCUGAAGGAGAUCAGCCCUGGGAUUUCUUUGGAAGGAAUGAUGCUAAAGCUGAAGCUCCAGUACUUUGGCCACCUCAUGCGAAGAGUUGACUCAUUGGAAAAGACUCUGAUCCUGGGAGGGAUUGGGGGCAGGAGGAGAAGGGGACGACAGAGGAUGAGAUGGCUGGAUGGCAUCACUGACUCGAUGGACAUGAGUCUGGGUGAAUUCCGGGAGUUGGUGAUGGACAGGGAGGCCUGGCGUGCUACGAUUCAUGGGAUCACAAAGAGUCGGACACAACUGAGCGACUGAACUCAACUGAACUGAUCUUAUAUUUAAGUCUUUCAGUCAUUUAGAGUUUAUUUUUGUGUAUGGUUUGAAGGAGUGUUCUAACUUCACUGAUUUCCAUGUGGCUAUCCAGCUUGCCCAACACCAUUUGCCAAAGAGAUAAUCUUUUCUCCAUUGUAUAUUCUUGCCUCCUUUGUUGAAGAUUAAUUAACUCUAAGUGUGUGGUUUUAUUUCUGUACCCUCUAUUCAGUUCUGUUGAUGUAUUUUCUGUUUUUGUGCCAAUACCAUGCUGUUUUGAUUACUUACUUUGUUCUAUUUCCUCAGGAUUUCUUUGGUAAUUCUGAGCCUUUUAUAGUUCCAUAAAAAUUUUAGGAUUAUUUGUUCUAAUUCUGGUGGUGCAGAGGUUAAAGCAUCUGCCUGCAAUGUGGGAGACCUGGGUUCGAUCCCUGGGUUGGGAAGAUCCCCUGGAGAAGGAAAUGGCAACCCACUCCAGUAUUCUUGCUUGGAAAAUUCCAUGGACGGAGGAGCUUGGUGGGCUACAGUCCAUGGGUCGCAAAGAGUUGGACACGAUUGAGCA
ensembl:lncRNA